GAUGAACGCUGGCGGCGUGCCUAAUACAUGCAAGUCGAGCGAAUGGAUUAAGAGCUUGCUCUUAUGAAGUUAGCGGCGGACGGGUGAGUAACACGUGGGCAACCUGCCCAUAAGACUGGGAUAACUCCGGGAAACCGGGGCUAAUACCGGAUAACAUUUUGAACCGCAUGGAUCGAAAUUGAAAGGCCGCUUCGGCUGUCACUUAUGGAUGGACCCGCGUCGCAUUAGCUAGUUGGUGAGGUAACGGCUCACCAAGGCAACGAUGCGUAGCCGACCUGAGAGGGUGAUCGGCCACACUGGGACUGAGACACGGCCCAGACUCCUACGGGAGGCAGCAGUAGGGAAUCUUCCGCAAUGGACGAAAGUCUGACGGAGCAACGCCGCGUGAGUGAUGAAGGCUUUCGGGUCGUAAAACUCUGUUGUUAGGGAAGAACAAGUGCUAGUUGAACAAGCUGGCACCUUGACGGUACCUAACCAGAAAGCCACGGCUAACUACGUGCCAGCAGCCGCCGUAA
rnacentral:rRNA from 1 species